UAGAAAGUGUCUGCAGCCAGAAGAACAUGAAGUCGCCAUCAGCACCGUGUUACUUAAGAGAACUGAGGAACCCCUCCAGUGAGUUUCAUAAUUAGGUUUUGUAAGGGCAUGGUGACGUAAGGGCAUGUGAGGGCUUUGGAAGCCAGUGGGCUACAAAUGCAGUUCCUCGUCGCACUGAAAACAUUGUUUAACCCCCCAACUCGGACUGUGAACCAAACAUGAAAAAUAUCAGGGUGAAAGUAAUUGGAAGUCAAGUUAUUUCAGCCGAACUUGUGGUAGGACUGCUACUCAGCAUCGCGUAUCGGAUGUGUUCCAGUUUGGCUUUUUCCUCAGAGGAAAGCGUCAGUGACGGAAGCGCGCAGUUUGAAGUAACGCGCUCACUCGUGUGUGUGUGGGUUGCCAGUAAUGUUAAGUUCAUUUUCUUUAAAAGCAACAACCAUCCACUUUCUCUGUCUGCUCAUUCCAUAUCAAGGCUUGUGGCUUUCCUUUCAUUGUUAGGAGUCUGCAGAGAGGGACGCAUUCAAGGAAGAGAUCGUAAACAUGUAUGUUAAAUGAAAACUUAAUCUUCCCAUGGUGGAUGUGGCAGUGUUCUUGUUCGUUCUUCUAAGCAGUUUGAUUCUUUUGAUCUUGGAUCACAAUCAGCUGCAAGGCUCUUUGAAACGAUCUGAACGGCCCAGUAAGCCCCAGAGCUUUUUCCUUCAAAUGGAUUUUUUUGCCAACUUCAUUUUUGGCCUCAUGUGGUUGGUUUUUCCAGGAUGGCUACUUGGGUCACAGAUUAGUGGAUCUGAGGAUAAUCUUCAUCUCACACGUGCAUUUGGAGCCAUGAUGGUUGGAGACAGCUUUGUUUCUUUUACCACUCAGAAACAAAUGGCAACCAAUGAAGUAUCAGUCUUCAGCUGCCGAGCUGUGGGGACUUUGGCAGUUGUCGUCUUCUUGAUCCACACCCAGCUCACCACAUCGGCAUGGAAAACCCCACAUCUCUGUUUCUGCCUAGUAGGGGUCAGUCUCUGGGCUGUUAACUCCAUCCUUGGCUACCUGAGCUCCAAAGACACGAGGACAGAGUCAGUGAAUGAUAUAUAUUGGCGUGCUGUACAGAAAAACGACAGAAGACUUUAUAUACGAUAGAUUUUGUCUGCAGACAUCAUUCGGUGCAUUUUGAUGAUGUUUUAUGAUGUUUAUGACAAACUGUUUAUACUGUAAAUAUAGUGUUAUUGUGUUUAUAAAUAAUAAAUAGAUGUAUUUCUUUGUACAUAAUUGUUCUUUUUAAUUUAUACGUAUGAAUAUUGUAAUUAAAUUG